rnacentral:rRNA from 1 species
UACAGAGGUCCCAAGCGUUGUCCGGAAUUAUUGGGCGUAAAGAGCUCGUAGGCGGCUUGUCGCGUCGUCCGUGAAAACCUGCAGCUCAACUGCAGGCUUGCGGUCGAUACGGGCAGGCUGGAGUUCGGUAGGGGAGACUGGAAUUCCUGGUGUAGCGGUGAAAUGCGCAGAUAUCAGGAGGAACACCGGUGGCGAAGGCGGGUCUCUGGGCCGAUACUGACGCUGAGGAGCGAAAGCGUGGGGAGCGAACAGG